CGUGUAGGCCGUUCGGUAAGUCGGGUGUGAAAUCCCAGGGCCCAACCCUGGAACUGCACACGAUACUGCCGGACUCGAGUCCCGGAGGGGAGAGCGGAAUUCCCGGUGUAGAGGUGAAAUUCGUAGAUAUCGGGAGGAACACCAGUGGCGAAGGCGGCUCUCUGGACGGUGACUGACGCUGAGACGCGAAAGCGUGGGGAGCAAACAGGAUUAGAUACCCUGGUAGUCC
rnacentral:rRNA from 1 species